GAUGAACGCUAGCGGCAGGCCUAACACAUGCAAGUCGAGGGGUAGCAGGAUUAAGCUUGCUUAAUUGCUGACGACCGGCGCACGGGUGCGUAACGCGUAUGCAACCUACCUUAUACUGGGGUAUAGCCCGGAGAAAUUCGGAUUAAUCCCCCAUAGUACUAAUGAAUCGCAUGGUUUAUUAGUUAAAGCAUUGCGGUAUAAGAUGGGCAUGCGUCCUAUUAGCUAGAUGGUGAGGUAACGGCUCACCAUGGCUACGAUAGGUAGGGGGCCUGGGAGGGUGGUCCCCCACACUGGUAAUGAGACACGGACCAGACUCCUACGGGAGGCAGCAGUGAGGAAUAUUGGUCAAUGGGCGCAAGCCUGAACCAGCCAUGCCGCGUGCAGGAAGAAUGCCCUAUGGGUUGUAAACUGCUUCUAUUUGGGAAUAAACCUCUUUACGUGUAGAGAGCUGAAGGUACCAAAUGGAUAAGCACCGGCUAACUCCGUGCCAGCAGCCGCCGUAA
rnacentral:rRNA from 1 species